rnacentral:lncRNA from 1 species
AUCUCAGAAUGAAGGCAUGGCUGGGGUCUGGCUGUCUCCUGGUGGCCGGAAGGAGACAGACGGCAAAGGAGAAGCUGCCUGUCUCUGCACAGGUCCAUGUCCCUGAGGAAAGCCAACGUCACAGAGAAAUGAUGACCACUUUCUCAAACCUGGCUUCGGAUUUGCACGUUGGCUGCCAAAGCUGAUCAGCAGCGGGCUUUGUGAAGAUGCCUGGUCUACCACGUGCCUCCAGCUGGUCACGCCCAAGACUCCCUGAGCCCUCUGGAAGGGCAGCACUUGCCCAGUGCCUCCCUCCAGGUCCUGCCACAUCCAAGAACCACCUGGACUAUUAUUUACUUAGUAUUUUAAACCAAUGUACUUUUUAAACUCCAAUUUUUUAAUAAGAUCAUUUAUGUCACCAUAUAACACCCAAAGCAGUAGAAUUUGUCAUACACAGAAGGCAAUGCUAAAAAUACAAUGAAAAUGGAACCAGGAAGUCUAGCUUGAUACCCUUGGCCUGUAUAACUGAGCCUUGUGCCAGUUAAAAGGGCAAAGCAGUAGGUGCUCAGGGGGUGUCGGGGCCCUGAGAGCUGAUCUGAUCCGCUGCUGCGUAUUCACUACCGCCCUGGGACGCCUCCAGCAGACCACCUCACUGGGGGAAACAUCAGGACAGCGUGGCCAGGAGCCCAAUGCUGCCACCUCAUAGAUGGGUAUCUGAGAUGAGUCAUCGAACUUCUGCAAGCCUCAGUUUCCUCCCUGGUCUAAUGGAACCCUCCUUGGCGGCUUCACAGGGUGAUGCUUGGGGCAGGUGAUGGAGAUGUGGGAGAGGCAGUUAUUUUUAACCACCCAGCCAAGCCCCUUGCCAGGAGGGACUCCCAGAAAUGAAGCCUUACCCUUGAGGGAGUUCCCCGCCACUCCAAGCUUGGGGCCUGGGAUGGCAGCUGUGAGGGCACCAGCACCAUCUGGGGACUCGCUGGGUACCAAUUAUCACCGCCCUUGGGCUACUUCAAAGGCUGCCCACACAGACACACCCUCCUUGGUAACCAGUCCUCAGGAGGAAGGGCACCCAAGGAAAGGGGGAAGGCUUCCUGGGCUAGAGCCCCUUCAGGGUCUGACACGCCAUUGACACUGACCACGUCAUUCAUUAAGCAAGCACCAACUAUACAUCAUUCACUAUCCCAAUCUAAUUUGCACAAGCCCUUAGGCAGGUGCUACUAUUAUCCCUGUUUUACAGAGAAGGAAACCGAGGCUUAGGAGAUGAAGUCUGAGGUGUUGGUGGAGCUGGGAUUUAAACCAAAAUAUGUCCAACUGCAAAGCAUGUAAGUAACAAUUUUAGAGGGUAUACGGAGGUGACCCUAAGUAACAAGGAAUCACAUAUAGUGAGCAAGCAAUUUGCUUUUCAGUUUUUGGUCAAUCCUUAUGAUUAUUUAGAGGAGAAAGUUCAGUUUGGUGCUGGUAUAUCUUAUGUUUAUCACCCGACAGUUGUUAAUCUCUUUUUAACAAAGAAUACAGGCCAAGGCCCUGUGACUUUAGCUGGCUUUGGUAUUUGGCCAAAAGUUAAUGACUUUGGCAGUUAGUGUUUUUAUCCAUGCCAAGCGAUGAUGAUUUUCUCUUUAGUGACAGACAUUUUUUAAAAAAUAAAUUCACAUAAAAAAGUAGUUUUACAGAUGAAGCACUAAAACUAGUGCAUUUCAUCUUAAACUGCAAAUUAUAAAGGGAAUAAUAGUAACUUGACAGUGGAGAGACCUGGCAGACACCACCUUCACCAACUGAUCAAAGUUAACAUCGCCAGAAAGGGGACAGAUGGCAUGUGCCUCUCGAUAAGAUGCACUGAAGACACACACUCACUUCUGCAAUAUUCCUGCCAAGAAUGCCUCAUCUGAAUCUAAUCUCGAGUAUAACCAUCAGACAAACCCAAAUUGAGAGACAGUUUACAAAACACCAGCCUUGUACUCUGCUUAAUAUGUCAAUGUCACAAGAGAGAAAGACAGACUGAAGAGCUGAUCCAGACUGAAGAAGGCUCGAGAUUAAUGCAAAAGCUGAUCUGGGAUUGCAUCUUGGACCUCAACUCUCCCCUUUUUAUUGUUAAGGGACACUACUGGGACAAUUUUUUUUUUUUUUCGUUUUGAGACAGGGUCUCGCUCAGUCACCCAGGCUGGAGUGCAGUGGUGGAAUAAUAACUCACUGCAGCCUUGAACUCCCGGACUCAAGCAAUCCUCCUGCCUGAGCCUUCCGAGUAACUGGGACUAUGGGCGUGUACCACAACACCUCGCUAUUUUUUUUUUCCUACUUUUUGUAGAGACGGGGUCUCACUAUGUUGCCCAGGCUGGUUUCAAACUCAAGUGAUCCUUCCACCUCAGCCUCUAUAAAAUUUGAAUAAAGUUGUAGAUGAGAUUGGU